rnacentral:rRNA from 1 species
CAUAGGUUAAUGAGGCGAACCGGGGGAACUGAAACAUCUAAGUACCCCGAGGAAAAGAAAUCAACCGAGAUUCCCCCAGUAGCGGCGAGCGAACGGGGAGCAGCCCAGAGCCUGAAUCAGUGUGUGUGUUAGUGGAAGCGUCUGGAAAGGCGCGCGAUACAGGGUGACAGCCCCGUACACAAAAAUGCACAUACUGUGAGCUCGAUGAGUAGGGCGGGACACGUGGUAUCCUGUCUGAAUAUGGGGGGACCAUCCUCCAAGGCUAAAUACUCCUGACUGACCGAUAGUGAACCAGUACCGUGAGGGAAAGGCGAAAAGAACCCCGGCGAGGGGAGUGAAAAAGAACCUGAAACCGUGUACGUACAAGCAGUGGGAGCACGCUUAGGCGUGUGACUGCGUACCUUUUGUAUAAUGGGUCAGCGACUUAUAUUCUGUAGCAAGGUUAACCGAAUAGGGGAGCCGAAGGGAAACCGAGUCUUAACUGGGCGUUAAGUUGCAGGGUAUAGACCCGAAACCCGGUGAUCUAGCCAUGGGCAGGUUGAAGGUUGGGUAACACUAACUGGAGGACCGAACCGACUAAUGUUGAAAAAUUAGCGGAUGACUUGUGGCUGGGGGUGAAAGGCCAAUCAAACCGGGAGAUAGCUGGUUCUCCCCGAAAGCUAUUUAGGUAGCGCCUCGUGAAUUCAUCUCCGGGGGUAGAGCACUGUUUCGGCAAGGGGGUCAUCCCGACUUACCAACCCGAUGCAAACUGCGAAUACCGGAGAAUGUUAUCACGGGAGACACACGGCGGGUGCUAACGUCCGUCGUGAAGAGGGAAACAACCCAGACCGCCAGCUAAGGUCCCAAAGUCAUGGUUAAGUGGGAAACGAUGUGGGAAGGCCCAGACAGCCAGGAUGUUGGCUUAGAAGCAGCCAUCAUUUAAAGAAAGCGUAAUAGCUCACUGGUCGAGUCGGCCUGCGCGGAAGAUGUAACGGGGCUAAACCAUGCACCGAAGCUGCGGCAGCGACGCUGAUGCGUUGUUGGGUAGGGGAGCGUUCUGUAAGCCUGCGAAGGUGUGCUGUGAGGCAUGCUGGAGGUAUCAGAAGUGCGAAUGCUGACAUAAGUAACGAUAAAGCGGGUGAAAAGCCCGCUCGCCGGAAGACCAAGGGUUCCUGUCCAACGUUAAUCGGGGCAGGGUG